rnacentral:rRNA from 1 species
GCCCUUUUCCGGUUGAUCCUGCCGGAGGCCAUUGCUAUCGGAGUCCGAUUUAGCCAUGCUAGUCGCACGGGUUGAGACCCGUGGCGAACAGCUCAGUAACACGUGGCCAAGCUACCCUCUGGACUGGAACACUCUCGGGAAACUGAGGCUAAUUCCAGAUAUGGCUUCCAUCCUGGAACGGAGGAAGCCGAAAACGCUCCGGCGCCAGAGGAUGCGGCUGCGGCCGAUUAGGUAGACGGUGGGGUAACGGCCCACCGUGCCGAUAAUCGGUACGGGUCAUGAGAGUGAGAGCCCGGAGACGGUAUCUGAGACAAGAUACCGGGCCCUACGGGGCGCAGCAGGCGCGAAACCUUUACACUGCGCGACAGCGCGAUAGGGGGACUCCGAGUGCGAGGGCAUAUCGUCCUCGCUUUUCUGUACCGUAAGGAGGUACAGGAAUAAGGGCUGGGCAAGACCGGUGCCAGCCGCCGCGGUAACACCGGCAGCUCGAGUGAUGGCCGCUCUUAUUGGGCCUAAAGCGUCCGUAGCCGGCCGGAUAAGUCCGUCGGGAAAUCCAUCCGCUUAACGGAUGGGCGUCCGGCGGAAACUGUCCGGCUUGGGACCGGAAGACCCGGGGGGUACGUCUUGGGUAGGAGUGAAAUCCUGUAAUCCUGGAUGGACCGCCGGUGGCGAAAGCGCCUCGGGAGGACGGAUCCGACGGUGAGGGACGAAAGCUAGGGUCACGAACCGGAUUAGAUACCCGGGUAGUCCUAGCCGUAAACGAUGUCCUA